rnacentral:rRNA from 1 species
GAAACGACUGCUAAGACUGGAUAGGAAAAGUAAAGGCAUCUUCACUUUUUUAAAAGACCUUCUUUGAAGGUAUACUUAAGGAGGGGCUUGCGACACAUUAGUUAGUUGGCAGGGUAAAGGCCUACCAAGACUAUGAUGUGUAGCUGGACUGAGAGGUUGAACAGCCACAUUGGGACUGAGACACGGCCCAAACUCCUACGGGAGGCAGCAGUAGGGAAUUUUCGGCAAUGGAGGAAACUCUGACCGAGCAACGCCGCGUGAACGAUGAAGUAUUUCGGUAUGUAAAGUUCUUUUAUUAAGGAAGAAAAAAGAGUGGAAAAACUCCCUUGACGGUACUUAAUGAAUAAGCCCCGGCUAAUUAUGUGCCAGCAGCCGCGGUAAUACAUAAGGGGCGAGCGUUAUCCGGAAUUAUUGGGCGUAAAGGGUGCGUAGGCGGUUUAAUAAGUCUAUAGUUUAAUUUCAGUGCCUAACGCUGUUAUGCUAUAGAAACUGUUUUACUAGAGUGAGAUAGAGGCGAGCGGAAUUCCAUGUGUAGCGGUAAAAUGCGUAAAUAUAUGGAGGAACACCAGAGGCGUAGGCGGCUUGCUGGGUCUUUACUGACGCUGAGGCACGAAAGCGUGGGGAGCAAACAGGAUUAGAUACCCUGGUAGUCCACGCCGUAAACGAUGAGUACUAAGUGUCGGGUAAAACCGGUACUGAAGUUAACACAUUAAGUACUCCGCCUGAGUAGUACGUACGCAAGUAUGAAACUUAAAGGAAUUGACGGGACUCCGCACAAGCGGUGGAUCAUGUUGUUUAAUUCGAAGAUACACGAAAAACCUUACCAGGUCUUGACAUUUUCUUGCGAAGUUAUAGAAAUAUAAUGGAGGUUAUCAGGAAAACAGGUGGUGCAUGGUUGUCGUCAGCUCGUGUCGUGAGAUGUUAGGUUAAGUCCUAAAACGAGCGCAACUCUUGUCGUUAAUUGCCAGCAUGUAAUGAUGGGGACUUUAACGAGACUGCCAAUGAAAAAUUGGAGGAAGGUGGGGAUUACGUCAAAUCAUCAUGCCCCUUAUGAUCUGGGCUACAAACGUGAUACAAUGGUUGAUACAAAGAGUAGCUGAAACGCGAGUUCUUAGCCAAUCUCACAAAAUCAAUCUCAGUUCGGAUUGAAGUCUGCAACUCGACUUCAUGAAGUUGGAAUCGCUAGUAAUCGCGAAUCAGCAUGUCGCGGUGAAUACGUUCGCGGGGUUUGUACACACCGCCCGUCA